AUUGAACGCUGGCGGCAGGCCUAACCCAUGCAAGUCGAACGAGUGGCGGACGGGUGAGUAAUGUCUGGGAAACUGCCUGAUGGAGGGGGAUAACUACUGGAAACGGUAGCUAAUACCGCAUACCAUCAGAUGUGCCCAGAUGGGAUUAGCGAGUUGGUGGGGUAACGGCUCACCAAGGCGACGAUCCCUAGCUGGUCUGAGCGGGUGACCAGCCACACUGGAACUGAGACACGGUCCAGACUCCGACGGUAGGCAGCAGUGGGGAAUAUUGCACAAUGGUCGCAAGCCUGAUGCAGCCAUGCCGCGGUUAUGAAGAAGGCCUUCGGGUUGUAAAGUACUUUCAGCGGGGAGGCGUUACCCGCAGAAGAAGCACCGGCUAACUCCGUGCCAGCAGCCGCGGUAAUUC
rnacentral:rRNA from 1 species